rfam:Clostridium sp. CAG:127 genomic scaffold, scf129
CAGAGGAGGACGCAUAUAAACCGAAGGUUUAUAUCUAGGAUGCGUCCGACGAAAUACCACAGAGCGAAAGCGAUGUGGUGAUACCCGUA